ACUCCAUACAAAGUCUUAAUCCGGGGUCCACAAGUAAGAGAAAGGUAUUUUUUACUCAGACAAUAUAGCCAGACAGACUUGAAUGCUAAUUGGUGUUAAGAUGUCUGUAGUUAAAAUAAAGUUGGGCCCAAUAAACUGGUAGAUCAAAGGCCUGUUGAGCGCUCAUGCCCGGUGUGAUUUUAACAAUUGACUCCAAAUGCGUUGACAAGAAAAUAAGUAAAACUGUUAUUGAAUGUGAUUGGUUGAUAAAAUCAACGUACUAUAGGCUACAUUUUGUCUGCGAUAUCAUCUCGGUGGAAGCGGACAUUAAAUGAAGUGAUUUCACACAAUUAAUUUAACAUUUAACAACGUGCUGAAAUGAUUUUGGAGCAGUGAUAUGUUUGACAAAUGUAAGCUAAUGGUCACAUAGAAUACAAGACCGCAGGUUUGUGAAUAUUUAUAUAAAAAAAAUAAUACCAUGUAUGUAAUUUAGCAUCGAUAUUGUUUCUCUGUAUAAUGUUAGUAUUUUGUUCCUUAAAAAAAACUCCAACAAUUUAAACCGGAAGUUCAUGUUUAUAAUAUGGCGCGGUCAGGAAAAAAAUUUCGGCAUGUUAUUAUCAAAUCUGUUCAAUUUUUCUGAAAUCAUGCUUAAUUAACAUUAGUUGUUCGGCGCUACGAUGUUGUUCAAAUACUUACAUUACAGAAUCACAUUAUGAUUAAAGCAGAAACGGCUCGACUUGAACCAGCAGGUAAGAAUCUGUUUUGAAAUUAUAUCUUGGGAGGUUGGAUUGGCGUUGGAGACCCGAUUGGCGGCCAUUUUGAUUCUUGUUUCAUGAUUUUUUUAUAUUAUAACGAUUUUGCCAAGAGUAGACAUAAACGCGGGCACAGACUAGAAAAAAAUCUUUUUACACUUUUGUGUUAGUUGAAUUGUAAUCUAAUUUAUGUUUAAAAAAACAACCUUAAAUCUAAUAAGCAGACGGAAGAUAUGGGCGAACAACAAGAAGAAGUUAUGGAGGUCCCAACAACUGAACCUAUGGAAGUAGAAGAAUCGUUUACAGCCGAAACCCGAUACGAUGUGCCAGUUCCGGUCAUGGAGUCCUCCAUCUCAGACGAUGCCGACGUUAGUGUCUUCUGCGACGAAGAACCCGUAGUGGUGUAUACGCAGGUAGAAGCUGGUUCCUCCCGUGGCAAGUCCAAGUUGUUUGACAACCAAGGGUUUAGUUAUACAAUUAAGACAGAGAAGAAAACUACGAUUUGGAGGUGUUCCAUCUUCACCCAGCAGAACCCGGUAUACACACGGCUAACAAGAUAAAAGUUACAGCAAAGCAUGAAGCCAAAGGAAAUGUUUUUACCAAGUCAUGUUCCUCAAUAGCGGAGAGAGUUUUAUCCAGUGUCGGUUCUGCAGAAGAACCCAUUCAUAGCAGACCACCCAUGGCAGCACUUGUAAGGUCGCUACAAAGAACCCGACAGACUCUGCGACCAAAAGAUCCCACUGACGUGUCGUCAAGCCUUGACGAAGAUUUCAUCGAUCAUAGUGCACCGGGAUUUUAUCAAAAAAGAGUAAAAGUUGGGGAAAGGCGCCAUCACAUUUUUUGUACUGAUAGACAGAUGCAACUACUCGCACGCGCAAAAACUUGGUAUAUGGAUGCAACUUUUCGGGUGGUGAACAAGCCAUGGUCUCAGCUGUUUUCCAUCCACGCCUUCAUUAAGACUGGAGAGACCACCCGACAGUUACCAUUGGUGUUUUGUGUAAUGUCGGGUAAAAGCCAAGACGACUAUUAUAAGGUAAAUAGCACUUACUGAUUGAAUUACU